UCCGGUUUGGCACCGGCAGUCUCCCUAGAGUUCCCGGCAUGACCCGCUGGCAACUAAGGACAGGGGUUGCGCUCGUUGCGCCACUUAACCCAACAUCUCACGACACGAGCUGACGACAGCCAUGCACCACCUGUUAUGGGACCUUUCGGACACAGUAUCUCUACUGCUUUUCCCAUAAUGUCAAACCCAGGUAAGGUUCUUCGGGUCGCAUCGAAUUAAGCCGCAUGCUCCGCCGCUUGUGCGGGGACCCGUCAAUUCCUUUGAGUCUUAGCCUUGCGGCCGUACUCCCCAGGCGGGGCACUUAAUGCGUUAGCUUCGGCACGGCAACCGUUGGUCGGGUCGCCACACCUAGUGCCCAACGUUUACAGCGUGGACUAC
rnacentral:misc_RNA from 1 species